UCUUUUUUUUUUGAACAGAUCUCCCAAAUCUUAAAAAUAAGUUACCUCUGAUUCAUACUCUAUUUCUUUUGUCAAUUUAAAAUAGAUGCUUACAUUAUCACUAGAAAUUUAUACGAAAAUUCGGAAAUGAGGGGUGUUACACCUCCCCCCCCUUAAAAGAAAAAAUUAGUCCUCUAAAUUUAUCAUACCUCUAUCGAUGAAAAGACGAGGAUACACCUUUUUCAUUUCCUCUUCUAGCUCCCAAGUUGUUUCCUCUCCAGAAUGAUGUCUCCAAAUUACUUGAACCAGUGGGAUGACC
rnacentral:lncRNA from 1 species